AGUUUUAUGCCUUUGUUACAUUUUUGAGACUGAAAGUAUCUUUUCUGUCUGCUGUUACUGGUUUGGAUCCAAGUGCACAACAGAUCAAAAGCGUGAGGGAGUGGACAGACCUAACAAGAAAGUAGAAUAUCAGUGCAAUAUCUGCAAAACUGUUUUUGUUGUACACUCCAGAUCACCUUGGCUCGUGUGUCAGUCACCUUUCUGUACCCACACACCGUCUGUGUACACAGUUCACUGGUUUCAGUUAUCACAGACUGGGAAUGGAAUGGAUGGCACUUGAGGAGUUGAACGUGGCAUGGCCGGGCUACUUCAAUAACCACUGCGUGGCUUUUGUCUCAGACUGGGAUGGAAAGUGUCAUCUUUCAUCAGAACACAUCCUCCUUUGCUUUCUAUUUCCAAACAAAACCUUCUCAGCGCUGUGGAUUUUACAGUUCAGACGAUGCUGAAGGACGAGUGACACGUUCAUUGUCUCCAUCAGCGUGGUACAGUUUGCUGGUGAAGACUGGCACAGAGUUGCUCCUUCAACUCAGAGAGCUGUGUUACCUUUUCUCAUGCGAAGGACACCUCUGUUUCCCCCCUCAGACUCCUGUUUUACUGCUGAAGGAUGUUCCAUGCCUCUCCCACACACAGUGGCACAGCAAGACUAGAAGACAGAGAAGGCUUGGUUGUCAACGCUCCAGGGCGACCUGGAGCCCUGGCAGUAGCGGUGUUCUCCAGAUGGCUUUUCCACGGCAUCGUCCUCCGUAGCACACCAGUGAGCCACGGGACUGAGACAGAGAUUCCAGCGUGGGGAGGGUGUGAGUCAUGGGAUGAUCCUGACCAUUAGGAAGACACUGCUGCAGAGUCUGAAACCAAACCCAUCUAGUCCUUGUUCUCAAGAAACCUUGGGUCAGAAGUUGCCGACAACUUUCCUUCUGGACGAAUAACUGUGAUGUUCCCACCAAGCACACGUUCUCAGUGAGUGGGAUUUCCUCACUGGGAUUGUUGAAACAUUGU